rnacentral:rRNA from 1 species
UACGGAGGGGGCUAGCGUUGUUCGGAAUUACUGGGCGUAAAGCGCACGUAGGCGGCUAUUCAAGUCAGAGGUGAAAGCCCGGGGCUCAACCCCGGAAUUGCCUUUGAAACUAGAUAGCUUGAAUCACGGAGAGGUGGGUGGAAUUCCGAGUGUAGAGGUGAAAUUCGUAGAUAUUCGGAAGAACACCAGUGGCGAAGGCGGCCCACUGGACGUGUAUUGACGCUGAGGUGCGAAAGCGUGGGGAGCAAACA